GCCUGUCUCCUUAGAAAUCAAGGAUACAGAGGUACGAGCCUAUAGAACAGAUCCUGUUCAAGUAAGGUCGUCACCUCUUCCUUCUUCUCUUCGCUAUAUAAACGAUACGACUUCUCCUUGGGUUUCCGAUGUGGGUUACAAUAUAUAACUUCAAACGCCCAAUACGCCGCCGUUUCAAAGCUCAACACACUAAUAAUGCCUCUGAUACGCCGUCGUUUAGUUAUCAUAAUGUCUGAUGAAGAAACUGUGAAACAAAGGUUUAUUUUCGUAAUCAGAAUCUCAUUUUGCUUUAACUAUUUUCGAUUAGCGUUUUCUUGGAAGUUUCUUCGGUUGUAGUGUAAGAUCUCAGUGUGGCUCUACGAGAUUCUGGGUUCGGAAGAUCCAAUCUCUUACUCAGGAUUGUGAAAUGUUCGAUGGGAUUUCUAUUAGACUUUUAUGUUAAUUGGUCGAAGUUUUGAAUUAAAGCAAAACAAUGGGACUACCAGAAGUAUAUCCAAAGACUCCUAACAUGUAGAAACCUCUGGGAGUAAGUGAUGAUUCUCCUCCCACCAACCAUGCUUGUUCUUUAUGACUUCAUUUGUCUCUCGAAUCGAGAGUCUCGAUCAUUACAGUAAAUGGUAUUUAGGAGACAACUGUGAAUCUGAAUCAUAAUUCAUUGAUUUGUACAUAGAAACACACAAAAAGCGACAAAACUUGACAGUGCGGUUUGUGAAUUGAAUUGAGGCUUAUUUAGUCAGGUUUAGUACAUGCACGUAAAAUCAUUCACGACUUUGAAGCAAAGACUUUUUAUCUAUUGUCUGUUUUGCAUGUGUUCCCUAACCGAUCUAUCUGUCUUGUUUAUCUGAAUAGUACCAGCACAUUUACAAAGCAAAACAGUAAACAAAACAAAUUCAUAUGUUAUGGGUUUGGCUUUUAAGAUACAAUGAUUGUCUCUCCUGACUUAACGGAAAAGGCGGGGAACUGUCUUUUGAGGCACUUUCCCUUGGAGCUUGAGACUACGAUAGGACUCUCGGAUAUGGCAAGGUCUGAUGUGUCCUGAUUCUUUCCUUUUCACCAUAAUCAGUCGAGCUGUUUCCACGAGCUCACCAACAAACAUUUUUGCUAUCCCACUAACAACGGACAGCCUAGGGUCGUCGUUGUUCAUAUCCCUGUGAUACUCUCUAAUAGCUUCUUCAUGUUUGAUUUGUGAAGAGUAGAUCUCCUGAAACAUUCAUAUCUGCUCAUUUGUUCCUCUGUGAACUGCGAUAUAACCGCAUGCAGGCAUCUUCACUACCUUCUUCUCACGAUCAUUAACUUCCGGAGGGUUUAAGUUUCUUCACCUGACGGAGAAGGCCAACAUCAUCAUCGCUAUCUUUUCCGCUUCUUCCACCGUCACAAACAGGGGAGUCUGGAGAAGAUUCAUCCUGCUCCUCCUCAAUAGCUGUUUCAAAAGGAUUUUUGUAUCGCUUCAUUAAAAAAUACUUGUAAUUAUUAAUAUAUGGAACCCCUUUAUAUACUUAUGUUUGGCUUAGUAAAUUAAGUUGGUUUUCCGAUGUGGGGCAACUUA